AGAGGAUCACAUGUAAUGUAGGAUGGCAGAAGACACGUAUCUGUGUAUGAAUGAUAUGCACUGCAAUUUCAUGAUAAUGAUGAUAAUUUAGCCGGUGGAAGAAUAAAAGUAUUUAAAUACGACAAAGAAAGAGAGAGGGAGAAAACGAUAAAGAAAAACAUAAAAUGGACACACGAUGUUGUUUGUAUUGUGACCACAACAAGUAGAAUUGGUAGAUGAGUUUUUGAUUA
rnacentral:lncRNA from 1 species